UCUAGGGCAUAUCUCGCUGACCGUUAGUCAGACUGACCUAAGAUUUCAUAUGUGACUUGCGCAUGGCACGAAGGUGUGCAUCCUCGAUUUUGAAGAUUUUUUAAUUUGUCAAAAUAUCAUUAUUUACCUGGGAUAUGUUGCGGCAUUGCACUGUUUCCGAUCGGACGCCUUUUAAUGGAGCUCCGUCCCAUUGUGUGAUAGGCCUACACCUGGUCAGUAACACAAUUCACUCUGGAUUUCCACCCUGAUUCAUCUAAUCUAGAGAGGGGAGGGUCUGCAGUGGAGAAAAGGCUUUGUGAGAGAGUUAUGUGAGGGGAGGUCAGCUCUGCAGAGACACCUACAGGUGGGGCGAGGGUAUGGACGCGGCGCCCCACAAUGCACCUGGCUGACUUCACCUGAAUGCAGCAGAGUACAUACUGUACAUCAUAAAAAGAGGUCAACUAAAGGACAAUAAAUAUUUACACGGAUGUGAAAAGUGGCAUGGUCUCCUCACUUCUCUCUAAACCACAACGACCUUACAAGACCUGAGCUCCACAGAGCUGGAAACACAUUACAGCUGCCUUCAAUUUUCAUGUUUUUGAAGUUUCUUCUUUGCUUUCAUGUAAACAGUGCUGUUAAGCUAUUAACUAGCUAAAUCUUGGCAUUCUGAGUGUUUUAUUUUGGAAUAUGUUCAAAGAUUGUUAGACUGGAGGAACCAGAAAAGAAACUGGAAUCAAGUUGUAUAUUAACACCAGGAUGUUUUGUGUUUCUGCAGCUUCCCUGGGAAUUAAUCUUUGCUUUUUAGAUUAAUUGUUUGCAUGUUUUUUGGUUUAAUUUAUAUUAUACAGUGGUGGAAGGAGUAAAAGUACUAAUACCACACUGUGAAAUGACUCCACUACAAUAAAAGUCCUGCAUUCAAAACUAACUGAAGUAAAAGUUAUGCAAAAUGGACUCACUCAGAUUGUUAAAUAUAUUUAAAAUAUAUGAUUGUAAAGCUAUUUUUGAUGCAUUUUACUGUUGUAAAUAUAGAGCUCAUGUUAAAUACUUAAUAUACUUUUAAGUGGUUUAAUUUAUUAAAUGUAAUCACUUUAAAUGUAUCAUGUUUUUU